GUCGCUCUGAACGUCUCAAAAUCCAAGAAGAUAAAAAUCUGGCUACCAAUUGGCUCAUACAACAGCAGCGUGGCGCUGCCAGGUUGGACCCGUUGGACAUCAGUUCAACUAACGCUGCCUUGAAGAUGAGCCCGUCUACUGGUUACUUGAACAGACGUGACAGAAAGGGUACGGGCUUAUCUCUACACUUGGGUCAGGAUCGUAAGCCUUGG
rnacentral:sRNA from 1 species